GCCUGUUUAUCAAAAACAUGUCUUUUUGAUAAUAAUUUAAAGUUUAAUCUGCCCACUGAUAAUUUAUUGAAGGGCUGCAGUAUUUUGACUGUACAAAGGUAGCAUAAUCAUUAGUCUCUUAAUUGGUGACUUGUAUGAAGGAUUGGAUGAGAUAUAAACUGUUUUAAAUAUAAAAAAAAAUUGAAUUUAAUUUUUUAAUUAAAAAGUUAAAAUAAAUUAAAAAGACGAGAAGACCCUAUAGAGUUUUAUAUUAUUUUAACUUUAAUUUAUUUAUAAAUUUAUUGAAUUUAAAUUUAAAAUAAUAUUUUAUUGGGGUGAUAAAAAAAUAAGAAAAACUUUUUUUUAAGUUAACCAUAAAUAAAUGAAUAUUUGAUCCAUUAAUAUUGAUUAUAAGAAAAAAUUACCUUAGGGAUAACAGCGUAAUUUUUUUUUUUAGUUCUUAUAAGAAGGAAAGUUUGCGACCUCGAUGUUGGAUUAAGAUAAAAUUUAA
rnacentral:rRNA from 1 species